rnacentral:rRNA from 1 species
UACGAGGGGGGCGAGCGUUGUUCGGAAUUAUUGGGCGUAAAGGGCGCGUAGGCGGUCGGAUAAGUCUUGUGUGAAAUCUUCGGGCUCAACCCGAAGUCUGCACAGGAAACUAUCUGGCUUGAGUGUGGGAGAGGUGAGUGGAAUUCCUGGUGUAGCGGUGAAAUGCGUAGAUAUCAGGAGGAACACCUGUGGCGAAAGCGGCUCACUGGACCACAACUGACGCUGAGGCGCGAAAGCUAGGGGAGCAAACAGG